CCACUGUCAACCUCAAAGGCUGCUGUGUGCUGUGUGUUAUAUUCUCCAGACUGGGCUCAGGAGAAGAGUCUCUGACUUGCCUCAUCUUUCUUCUCUAAGUCCAAGGCUGUGGUGAGAAACAAGCAUUCUGUGGGGUGCUGCUGGAGUGAGUUCGCCUUUGGAUUUUCAGGCUCCCACUGGAGAGCUAGGUGCUGCUUCUGACUGUGGGAGUGCCCAGGCUAGAGUCAAUGCCUCUUCAGCGCCCCCAGAGGAGAUGCCAACAGGAACACCCCUACCUGUGCUGCCAGGCAAGAAAGGGGUAAUCUCCCCAGCUGCUCUGCAAAGUUCCAGCUCACCUCACCUCAUCACCCACUCAGCUUCCAUCUAUAAGAAGCAGAGCAGAAGUUGCAGAAGGGUUGAGAUGGGAGGACCAGACCCGUCCGAGACUGUGAGUCACACUUGACUCCCUCACAACCCCAGGAUCGCUACUCUCUGUCUCACUUGGUUUCUUUCCUUUGUCCCCAUGGUUUUCUAAGAGUUAAUGCCCAUGUGGCUCUGUCCUGACAAGUUCUUUUGGCCUUUUCUCUAAUUUCCUCUGGGUUUAGGGUAAUAGAUCUCUUUUUCCCCCUUUUUGAGAUCAAGAAGGAGGAGAG